rnacentral:rRNA from 1 species
AUGCAAAUCGGUGGCUUCACCUUUGCAAGAGCGAGGAUCGACUGCGGCAGCGUCCAAAUGCCGUCACCGCAGAUCAACCCCGAGGCGACCGCCGGCGCAAACGCGUCGGCCUUGGCCUUGUUCACGAUCCCCCACACGAAGACGAUGACGGUGCCGACGAACAUGUCGAUGGCGAAGUAGGAGCCGAUGUAG